GACGAACGCUGGCGGCGUGCCUAAUACAUGCAAGUCGAGCGGACCAAAGGGAGCUUGCUCCUGGAGGUUAGCGGCGAACGGGUGAGUAACACGUGGGCAACCUGCCUGUAAGACUGGGAUAACAUCGAGAAAUCGGUGCUAAUACCGGAUAAUAAAAAGAACUGCAUGGUUCUUUUUUGAAAGAUGGUUUCGGCUAUCACUUACAGAUGGGCCCGUGGCGCAUUAGCUAGUUGGUGAGGUAACGGCUCACCAAGGCGACGAUGCGUAGCCGACCUGAGAGGGUGAUCGGCCACACUGGGACUGAGACACGGCCCAGACUCCUACGGGAGGCAGCAGUAGGGAAUCUUCCGCAAUGGACGAAAGUCUGACGGAGCAACGCCGCGUGAGUGAUGAAGGUUUUCGGAUCGUAAAACUCUGUUGUUAGGGAAGAACAAGUGCCGUUCGAAAGGGCGGCACCUUGACGGUACCUAACGAGAAAGCCACGGCUAACUACGUGCCAGCAGCCGCGGUAAAG
rnacentral:rRNA from 1 species